AAAGAAACUAACUAGGAUUCCCUUAGUAACGGCGAGUGAACCGGGAUGAGCUCAAAUUUGAAAUCUGGCGUCUUUCAGGCGUCCGAGUUGUAAUCUAUAGAGGCGUUUUCCGCGCCGGACCGCGUCCAAGUCUCUUGGAAUAGAGUAUCAAAGAGGGUGACAAUCCCGUACUUGACGCGACAACCGGUGCUCUGUGAUACGUUCUCAAUGAGUCGAGUUGUUUGGGAAUGCAGCUCUAAAUGGGUGGUAAAUUCCAUCUAAGGCUAAAUAUUGGCGAGAGACCGAUAGCGAACAAGUACCGUGAGGGAAAGAUGAAAAGCACUUUGGAAAGAGAGUUAAACAGCACGUGAAAUUGUUAAAAGGGAAACGAUUGAAGUCAGUCGUGUGGGAAGUAUUCAGCCGUCUCUGGCGGUGUAUUUGCUUCUCACGGGUCAACAUCAGUUUGAUCCGGUAGAAAAAGGCGGGAAGAAGGUGGCACCCUCGGGUGUGUUAUAGCUUCCUGUCAUAUGUGCCGGACCAGACUGAGG
rnacentral:rRNA from 1 species